CCGGAUUGAACCCCAUGCUGAUCACGAAGCUCGAAACUUUUCCUCCCACAAGUUCUUUGGAUCCAGCUGUAUUUGGAGCACAAGCCACUGCAUUGACAAACGAGCACAUUCAGACCCAGCUUCAAGGUCUCACAGUAGAACAGGUAACGUACAUCUUCUAGACAAGGAAAACCAAAAGAGACUUACGUGAAAAAACUUUCAGGCGCUUGAGAAGAACAGGCUAUUCAUUGUAGACUACCACGAUGUUUUCCUGCCAUACUUAAACAUCAUCAAUGCUCAGAAGAACAAAAGAACAUACGGAACACGCACCAUACUUUUCCUCUCGAACGAGGGAACUCUGAAGAUUGUCGCCAUCGAGCUGAGCCUCCCAGCACCAGGAGAGAAGGGCCAGAGGAGCAAUCGAGUUUUCCUCCCUCCAACUAACAAAAAGGACUGGCUUUGGGAACUUGCCAAAGCUCACGUCUCAGUUAAUGACGCUGGAUACCAUCAACUCGUCAGUCACUGGUAAGUUUCAUUGAAGUUUUUCUUUCUUUCCCUGUACAAACAAAGAACACGUUCCAUGAUCAGGCUGAAGACUCACGCUAUCAUGGAGCCAAUCAUCAUAGCCACUUACAGGCAGCUCAGCGCUCUCCAUCCGAUCCUCCUCUUACUUCAACCACAUUACAAGAACACAAUGGCAAUCAACGCGAGAGCUCGCAAGGCACUGAUCAACGCCGGGGGCAUCAUCGAGGACUGCUUCACAACCGGACGAUACUCCAUGGAGAUGAGCGCCGUUGUCUAUGGACUCUCAUGGAGAUUCGACCAGGAAGGACUCCCAGCGGACUUGAUCAAGAGGUAACCAAAGCAGGAAAAAACCAAUAAAGAUCGAGUUUUGUUCUAACUAAAAACUGCUAUGAUCAGGAAAAUGGCUGUUCCGGAUCCAAACGCAAAGCACGGACUGGAACUUAUCAUCAAGGACUACCCCUACGCGGUCGACGGCCUCAACAUCUGGGACGCUAUCAAAAACUGGGUGACGGACUACACGGACAUCUUCUACAAGGAGGAAGCGUCAGUAGCGGCGGACACCGAGCUCCAGAGCUGGUGGCACGAGAUCCGCUACGUCGGUCACGCAGACAAGAAGGACGCCGACUGGUGGCUCAAGCUCGACUCCAAGAAAAACCUGGUAGAGUUGCUUACCACGGUGAUCUGGUUGGCCUCGGCACACCACGCCGCCGUCAACUUCGGACAGUACGCUUACGCCGGCUACCCGGCAAACCGCCCGACCAUCGCGCACCGCUUCGUCCCGGAGCCCGGCACCAAGGAGCACGACGAGUUCCUGCAAAACCCCGAGAAGUUUUAUCUGUCAGCAAUCUCGUCCAGAGUGGAAGCUACAACUGUGAUGACAACGAUAGAGAUCCUGUCAACUCACACGGCAGACGAGGAGUACCUGGGCGAGCGCAAGAGCGAGAACUGGACCGGGGACGCUCGAGUCCUCGCCGCCUUUAGCAACUUCACGGCCGCCAUGCGAGAGGUGGAGCACCAGGUGAUGGCCAACAACAAGAACCCGAGCCUCAAGAACCGGCACGGAGCUGUCGAUGGCUACACGCUGCUGUGUAUCAACUCCAAGCCCGGCCUCACUGGAAGAGGAGUCCCAAACAGCAUUUCCAUCUAGAAAACGCGAAAGCUUUCCACCCUUCCCCGUUUGUACUUCGAGAAUCAACCAAGUCACCCA
rnacentral:lncRNA from 1 species